UACGAAGGGUGCAAGCGUUACUCGGAAUUACUGGGCGUAAAGGGUGCGUAGGUGGUUCUUUAAGUCUGCUGUGAAAGCCCCGGGCUCAACCUGGGAAUGGCAUUGGAUACUGGCUCGCUCGAGUGCGGUAGAGGGUGGUGGAAUUCCCGGUGUAGCAGUGAAAUGCGUAGAGAUCGGGAGGAACAUCUGUGGCGAAGGCGGCCACCUGGACCAGCACUGACACUGAGGCACGAAAGCGUGGGGAGCAAACAGG
rnacentral:rRNA from 1 species